UACGAAGGGGGCUAGCGUUGUUCGGAAUCACUGGGCGUAAAGCGCACGUAGGCGGAUUGUUAAGUCAGGGGUGAAAUCCUGGAGCUCAACUCCAGAACUGCCUUUGAUACUGGCGAUCUUGAGUCCGGGAGAGGUGAGUGGAACUCCGAGUGUAGAGGUGAAAUUCGUAGAUAUUCGGAAGAACACCAGUGGCGAAGGCGGCUCACUGGCCCGGUACUGACGCUGAUGUGCGAAAGCGUGGGGAGCAAACAGGG
rnacentral:rRNA from 1 species